rnacentral:rRNA from 1 species
GACGAACGCUGGCGGCGUGCCUAACACAUGCAAGUCGAACGGACGAGAUUUCUUCGGAGAUCGAGUUAGUGGCGAACGGGUGAGUAACGCGUGAGCAACCUGCCUUUCAGAGGGGGACAACAGUUGGAAACGACUGCUAAUACCGCAUAACACAUCGAGGGGGCAUCCUCUUGGUGUCAAAGAUUUAUCGCUGAAAGAUGGGCUCGCGUCUGAUUAGAUAGUUGGUGGGGUAACGGCCUACCAAGUCGACGAUCAGUAGCCGGACUGAGAGGUUGAUCGGCCACAUUGGGACUGAGACACGGCCCAGACUCCUACGGGAGGCAGCAGUGGGGAAUAUUGCACAAUGGAGGAAACUCUGAUGCAGCGACGCCGCGUGAGGGAAGAAGGUAUUCGUAUUGUAAACCUCUGUCUUCGGGGACGAUAAUGACGGUACCCGAGGAGGAAGCACCGGCUAACUACGUG